GUUCUGUCCAUACAUGCUCCAAAGUUGAUGCUUGACUUUUAUCUAAGAAGGCCGAGAUGCAAAAUAUAUUGAUUUGGCAAGAAAUUACUCAAAGUGCAUCAGGUGAUAGAAAACAUUUUUUAUGAGAAUGGUAGAAGCUGAUUCGCAUGAUUUGUAAGGUUCCCAAAUUAGUGAACUAUAACAUGAGGGUUAAGGUAUUGGAGCCAUUAUUCAAUCGUUUGGAGCUGUUACACAAGGGUUUCACCUGUUAUUUCUCACCACAUGGACAUAUCUUGGCAACAUUGUUGUUUGUUGUUGCCCAUUGUUGCUAGUAGGAAAAGUAGCUCUUUUCUGUGACAUUGCAAGUAAAAGCCAAUGGAGGUUGAAGCUCUAGGAUGAGGUGAGAUGAAUUCAACUAAAAGAUUAAUCUAGUCUUUUAUGGCAGUUCCUCAGUGGUGCAAUAGCGUGUUUAGGUUGUUAUAACAAGAUUUUUUUUGUGCUUUGCCACAUUUGUCCUGAUUGAAUGAAUGAUGG
rnacentral:misc_RNA from 1 species